GCUUGUCUCAAAGAUUAAGCCAUGCAUGUCUAAGUACAAGCCUCAGUAAGGUGAAACCGCGAAUGGCUCAUUAAAUCACACCUAAUCUACUGGAAAGUUACUAGUUACUUGGAUAACUGAGGUAAUUCUUGAGCUAAUACAUGCGAAAAAUCUCGACUCACGGAGAGAUGCUUUUAUUAGAUCAAAACCAAACGGCUUCGGCCGUCUCAUUGGUGAUUCAUAAUAACUUGACGAAUCGUAUUGCUUUUUAAGCUGACGAUGAUUCAUUCAAAUUUCUGCCCUAUCAACUGUGAUGGUAAGGUCUUGGCUUACCAUGGUGACAACGGGUGACGGGGAAUUAGGGUUCGAUUCCGGAGAGGGAGCCUGAGAAACGGCUACCACUUCUAAGGAAGGCAGCAGG
rnacentral:rRNA from 1 species